rnacentral:snRNA from 1 species
UAGCGUUGAGCCAUUCACGAUUGUCAUAUCUCUUUCGCCUUUUACUAAAGAGAUCAGCGAGCACGGCUCUCUAAAGGCGCAUAUCAACAAUCUUUGUAGGGCUUUUGCCU